GGCAUGUUGGAUUCAAGGGAUGCUGGGUCUAUUCUCUCAUCGCCUAUGUACCGUCCACAUUUUUGCCCUCAGGUCCUGUGCAGCUAUCUGCAAAUGAAGAUGCUGAUUCAGAGAAUGCAGGGGUCUGCAGCCUGAUCACUUCUGUACCAUCCACAUCUAUACCACCAGGUUU